UUAUUCAUGAUAUGGCUUGCUCUCUCUUUAGACCUUUUAACCGCCCAUAACUCAUUCCAAAAAGGCUUCACAGCCAUCGAGGUCCUCUUACUUUCAGCAGUUUCCCUGGUACAUGUUUUCAGCAUUGAUAUUCUACAGGGGCACCCAUUUCCAUACCAAAUAUUCCACGUAGCUCUUUCAUGGACCCGACGCGCAUUCUCGCAUUCCUAAUUGUGAGGUAAUUUGUUAAGUUGGGCAACCGUCUGAAGGGGGCAAGACGAUAGGGGGAUGUUUCUUCAUCAACAAUUCAUCAAGGGCGGCUAUGUCAAACGUGGAUUUUCUUGAGGUAUUUAAUUUGCAUUUGUCAUUGGCGGCAGAUCCAUGAGGCGCGACGUGUCCCGUUUUGCCGUCUUUAUCUUCAGGUCAUUACGGAUAUGAGUCAGGGAUGAUCAACAGCUUUCUCUUCUCUGUUUCCUCACCGCAACAUGCCUAGCAUAACAACGUCUAAUUUUUUACUUUGCAGUCUAAGGGAAUAAGGCCAUUUUAAGAACUAUGGAGGUUCACUAUUCUCUCCUUGUCUCGCCAUUAAUCUUCUACAGGCUGGCUGACUGACCCUACAAGAGCUGACCCGUAAAUAAACAUUAAGUUGCAUAACCUAAGAAAUGAGAAAUUCCCACAGUCCCUCUUUGUCAAUGUCUAGCGGUGGUUUGGUCAAAGACACCAUUUUAAGUCAGUUGGUAGAAUUGUAAGGGGACAUCCGAAAUGGAUGUGGGACUCAACACAAACCAUGUAAUGUAUUAGUCUUUAUGCCAUACGAGAGAGGAGAGUUUUUAGAGCAUUGGCAUGAAACCCAGCCACACAAUGAAAACUGUUCUCUUUCAUUUGGCUAGCCCACUUGUUUUGGAUGGGUUCUUUUAUGGGUUUAGGUAAAAAUGAAAACAGCUCUUAAGAUAGGGUGACCAGACGUCCCCGUUUUUGGUGGCCUGUCCCCGGCUGGAAAUGCAUUAAAAACAGACUGCAAAGUGAAAUAAUAUUUUAAGUGGCAAGAAAGACCGGGCAGCAGAGCCUAUUGGUUAACGUCCCAAUCGCGUUGUGCUUGUUUUGUCCAGCAGAGGGGGCUGCUUGCUAUAGCAGCUCCAGUCACUCUUAUUCUUCUACUAACUACUUGCUCGCGCUAGUUUUAGAGAAAACUGCUGUGGAAAACUCGGCCGGAAGCUAGCAAGUAUCAAGUGAAUCCACAACAUCCCCACAAACGUCUUUUCAAGCCGGAGAGUGGAGAGAAACGAGAGGAGGAAGACUGGAUAAGAAGAAGAGUGAAAGAGAGAGAGGAGGAAAGAUUGGAGAGGAAGGAGAAGGAAAAAUGAAGGGAGUAAAAGGAGUGAAGAGAGGAGAUUGUAGAAGAGUGAGGUGGAAAGGUAAAGAGAAGGAAAGGAAGGAAGACGAGUGAAGAAAAGAAGAGGAGAAAGAUUGGAGCAGAAGAAAAUGUUAAGAGAGUAAGAAGAGCAGACAGGGGGGUACAAUGGCUCUUUCCAAGAAACAGAAUGAAUGAUAUAUGGACAGCAGCAAGAAAUAGGUUCACUGUUCCUAUGCUUAUUGUGAAGACAAACUUAAACCUCCCCUGCCAGGAGUUCACGGAGAAGCUGGCCAAAGACAGAGUAAUCCUGAAAAAGAUACAUUCUUCUGAGAAAUAUACAGAUUAGGUUGGUAUAAGUAUAUUAUGUAGUUACCAAUCAUCAUCUUAUUUCUUUAUUAUGUUGUUAAGUAUUUCAUAUAUACUGUACUAUAGCCUGUUUUUUCAAUUUUGCUCAUGUUCUCUUAUGUUCUUAUUCUACCCAGACUAUCAGGACCACUGAAUGGCUGUUCAGAUCGGACAGUUCUGUCUUGUCUGUAGUGUUUCUGUUUUCUCUAUCACAGUGUGCCUGUUAGACUAAAUACAUGAAACUGAAAUUGUCCCCCAUACUACUGGUAGUACCCAUCACGGUCUAAUCAGCCAAAUAAAGUAAAGAUAUGUAAUUUAACUAAUGUGCUUAUUAUGAAUCCCAUUCACCCUAUUUUUCCCAAAAUUAUCAAAUAAAGUUAAAUAGAUUUUUGUAACUUCAGAAAUGUAAUUAAUUUAGUCAAACUUUGCGGAAUGUCUGUGUGCUUAAAUACUGAAAAUUGCCAGAAUGUCUGUGAAUAUAUAACCAACUUCUUAACGGAGAUGAAGAGAAUAAAAUUGACAUUUUCAGCGGGUGAACUAAUAUGCCUCUGCCAGACCGG